rnacentral:rRNA from 1 species
UACGUAGGGAGCAAGCGUUGUCCGGAAUCAUUGGGCGUAAAGCGCGCGUAGGUGGCCAUGUAAGUCCGCUGUGAAAGUCAAAGGCUCAACCUUUGAAAGCCGGUGGAUACUGCAUGGCUAGAGUACGGAAGAGGCGAGUGGAAUUCCUGGUGUAGCGGUGAAAUGCGCAGAUAUCGGGAGGAACACCUAUGGCGAAGGCAGCUCGCUGGGACGUUACUGACGCUGAGACGCGAAAGCGUGGGGAGCAAACAGG